AGUGAACGCUGGCGGUAGGCCUAACACAUGCAAGUCGAACGGCAGCACAGUAAGAGCUUGCUCUUACGGGUGGCGAGUGGCGGACGGGUGAGGAAUACAUCGGAAUCUACUUUUUCGUGGGGGAUAACGUAGGGAAACUUACGCUAAUACCGCAUACGACCUACGGGUGAAAGCAGGGGAUCUUCGGACCUUGCGCGAUUGAAUGAGCCGAUGUCGGAUUAGCUAGUUGGCGGGGUAAAGGCCCACCAAGGCGACGAUCCGUAGCUGGUCGGAGAGGAUGAUCGGCGACCCUGGAACUGAAACACGGUCCAUAGUACUGAGGGACGCACCAGACGCCAACAGUGGGCAAUAGGCGGAAGUCUUGCCCAAUGGGCGCGAGCCGGAGGAAGAGACGCCGCGUGCGGGAAGACCUCCUUUGGGUAGAGAAACGCAGCAGGCUAAGACGCCGCUGUUCUGACGGUACCCAAAGAAUAAGCACCGGCUAACUACGUG
rnacentral:rRNA from 1 species